GGAUCCGUAGCUCAGUCUGGAUAGAGCGGCAGCCUUCUAAGCUGUAGGCCGAGGGUUCAAAUCCCUUCGGAUCCG
rnacentral:tRNA from 2 species